AUUGAACGCUGGCGGCAUGCUUUACACAUGCAAGUCGAACGGUAACAGCCCUUCGGGUUCUGACGCUUGGCGAACGGGCGGGUAAUGCAUCGGAACGUACCCUGCGGUGGGGGUUAACGUAGCGAAAGCUGUGCUAAUACCGCACGUGAUCUGAGGAUGAAAGCGGGGGACCGGGCAGCAAUGUUUGGCCUCGCGCCUUUGGACUCGCCGAUGUCGGAUGAGUUGGUUGGGGGGGUAAAGGCCUACCAAGGCGGGGAUACGUAGCUGGACUGAGAGGCCGAUCAGCCACACGGGGAGUGAGACGCGGACCAGACUCCUGCGAGAGGCAGCAGAGGGGAACGUUGGGCAGUAGGCGCAAGUCUGGUACAGCAAGGCCGCGUGCGGGAAGAAGGCGUUCGGGUUGUAAACAGCUUUUGGCAGGAACGAAACGGUGUCCGCUAAUACCGGGCGCUAAUGACGGUACCUGCAGAAUAAGCACCGGCUAACUACGUG
rnacentral:rRNA from 1 species